GCGCCCGUAGCUCAGUGGAUAGAGCGUCUGCCUCCGGAGCAGAAGGUCGUAGGUUCGAAUCCUAUCGGGCGCACCU
rnacentral:tRNA from 1 species